GUCCACGCCCUAAACUAUGUCAACUGGUUGUUGGGGUUUGACACUCUCAGUAACGAAGCUAACGCGUGAAGUUGACCGCCUGGGGAGUACGGCCGCAAGGUUAAAACUCAAAGGAAUUGACGGGGACCCGCACAAGCGGUGGAUUAUGUGGAUUAAUUCGAUGCAACGCGAAAACCUUACCUACCCUUGACAUGUCCUUAAGCCUGGAGAGAUCCGGGUGUGCCCGAAAGGGAACGGGAACACAGGUGCUGCAUGGCUGUCGU
rnacentral:rRNA from 1 species